UUUGAUCGCUGGGGCUUACUGUGUUUACCGCAGAAGAGCAACAGCUUUUGCUGACCAGGAGGAAGGGAGGAAGCUACCGGAGCGCAUGGGGCCUCUGUGCCAGCGGGGGUGGAAACGUAUUUGGGAACCAGACCAACAUGUAAAAGAUGAAAAAUUGAUGGAUGAGGAAUCAGCUCCACUGAAGACUAAUGAAGAUGUAAUCGUUAAACCUGUAAGUGAAAGAAAGAAGCGGUUUGAACCACCUGCAUGUAGCCCAAAUA